UGCUAUAAAAACAGAAAAAAGAACCUUUCUUUAUCACUCACUCUUUCAUAGAUAGUGAUUGCUCUCAACUCAACUUCUUUUUCUUCAUAUUCAACUAAAAAUCAAGAAAAGGGUAGUGUUUAGAAUUUCAGAAACACUUCAAAAACUUGAUCUUUUUUUCUUUAAAGCUGGUUUUGGUGUUUUGGGGUUGUUAAUGGAGGUCUUGGAGAAAGAGAAGUGUUGAUUUCUUUAAGGUUUGAUGUUGGGGAGCUGAAAUUAG
rnacentral:misc_RNA from 1 species